rnacentral:rRNA from 1 species
GACGAACGCUGGCGGCGUGCUUAACACAUGCAAGUCGAACGAAGUGGCGUACGGGUGCGUAACUCGUAAUCAACCUGCCCUUCAGAGGGGGACAACAGUUGGAAACGACUGCUAAUACCGCAAACUGAAGGAGGGGAUUGCGUCUGAUUAGCCAGUUGGAGGGGUAACGGCCCCCCAAGGCGAUGAUCAGUAGCCGGACUGAGAGAGUGAACGGCCACAUUGGGACUGAGACACGGCGCAGACGCCUACGGGAGGCAGCAGUGGGGAAUCUUCCGCAAUGGGCGAAAGUCUGACGGAGCAACGCCGCGUGAGUGAUGACGGCCUUCGGGUUGUAAAGCUCUGUUAAUCGGGACGCGGUACCGGAAUAGAAAGCCACGGCUAACUACGUGCCAGCAGCCGCGGUAAUUC